ensembl:lncRNA
UUUUUUUUUUUUUUUUUUUGGCUUUUUAGGGCCACUGCAGAGGCAUAUGGAAAUUCCCAGGCUAGGGGUCAAAUCGGAGCUGCAACUACCAGCCUACACCACAGCCACAGCAACACAGGAUCCAAACUGCCUCUGCCACCCACACCACAUCUCAUGGCAAUGCUGGAUCCUUAACCCAAUGAGCGAGGCUAGGGAUCGAACCCACAUCCUUAUGGUUCCUAGUUGGGUUCAUCACUCCUGAGCCACAACAGGGAACUCCUUAAGAGGACUCUUGAUUAGCUUGUCCUCUUGAUAAGCACCUGCCCUCUUGGAGUUCAAAGUUCUCCUUCAUAUUUCCUCCUUCUGCGCCUUGGGAAAGGCCUCUCGUCUCCAUGCUCAGAUAGCGAGUUUAGGGCAGGUGUACGCAGGAAAAGAGAUCCGCUCGUCCACUGAACCGCNNNNNNNNNNNNNNNNNNNNNNNNNNNNNNAAUUCACAGCAAAAGCCCCACCCCGCUUCCAAAGCUCCGGCAGAGGCUCAAAGAAAACCAGAUGCAACAUAAUCCUUCUCUUGUGUUAAAUAACACUCUCAUUUACAUCCUCCCGAUAUUAAUUCUCUUUGUUUCAACCUUAGCUGAAGUCAAGCAAGGCCUCCUGAGCAGCGUUAGUCACAUGUAUUAGACAACCCUAGAAUGACAAAAUGCUCUAAUUCCAUCUACUGAUAACAGUCAAUUUGACACCAAUAGUAAGCUGUUAUUUUUCAAAUAACAAUGGUAACAUUUAAUUAGAAUUUAACUCGGCUGCCGGCUUUCACUUAACAGUGCACGGUACACUGGUGGUUCCCUGGCUAAAGGAAAGACUGACAGCCAGUGGAAACCCUGUAUUUUUUAAAAAGCUGCACAUGCGUUGUGUGUCUACUUAUCCAUAACAUUCUGCCAUUAACUGCUAGCAUUUCAAGUGGCUUGAAGGGUCAGCUGGUCCUUAGUCGUUCCUAUUAUGACCGCAGGUUGGGGUAAGUCUUUGUCCAGCCUGUCACAAUGGCUUGUAAAGUUUACAUCUAUAGACAGAGCCUGAAGACGCCCUCUCAGAUGACUGGUUAUAUCUCCUGAUCCCAUUUUAACUAAGGAGAUGAUAUAAGAAAGCAGCAGCAGCAUGCCUGGCACACAGUAGGUACUUAGUAAAUGGUAACUAUCAACUAUCAACUUAACUAUAGUAAAAGUUUCAUAAAUAUUUUCGUUCCUACCUACUGUAGGUGCACCCUGGCUAGGGGUCUAAUCAGAGCUGCAGCUGCAGGCCUAUGCCACACCUCAGCUCUGAUUGGACCCCUACCCUGGGAAUUUCCGUAUGACAUGGGUAUGGCCCUAAAAAGACCAAAGAAAAAAAAAAACAAACCCAAGCAUUUGUUAUAAAUGACAUGGAUGACAAUAAGACACAGUUUUUAAAGACCCUGUUGUCAAGUGGAAGAGCAAGAAAUAUAGAUGAGGAAUAUUUAAUUUUGGCAAAAGGUAGUAGUAGAGUUAAAGAUAGCGCCCCCCCCCUCAAAAAAAGCAAACCUAAGUUAAGGAAUUGCCGACCUUAAUUUAUUGGGGGAAGUAGCCCUAGGACAAAGGAUGGAUGCUGGGGGCCUGGGAAGAGUGUAGACAGAGGCUUUCCUGGAAAGCCAGUACAUGGUGCUUUAUUAAGCUGGAUCACACGGACAGUUGGGGCUUGAGCCCACGGGGACUCUCUAAGGAACCACAAGGCAUGUGCCUCAUAUUGACCACCUGGGGGACAGAAGAGGGGACAUUUACCCACCAGCUCCUAUGCCUCAAUGGUCACGAAUUGCCCCUUGGAGUGCAGACUCUCUCACUCUCCCAGGUUUGUGCACAUGCAAGGGCCCCCGGCUUUCUGCAGGCGUCCUGAGCCCCCAGGUCAGGCAAGCCCAGAAGCAGAAAGCCAAGUUAGCAGGAUGGCUGAGGAAGUGUGGGCAGCUGGCACCUGCUCAGAGCUGGCAGCCCCAGCAACGGCUGGACUAAACAAGGGCUGACAGGAGGCCAGGCCAGACACGAGAGGCAUCAGUGAUGGCAUAGGAAAUCACGGGAGCUACUAACAUGGCUCAGCCUUUGGUCAAAGAGCUGGGGUUUCAUCCUAUAAAGAUGCCCGGUUACCCCAGGCUAGGGACAAAAUUAGCCAAAGCAGUGGGGAGAAAAGGCGGGUGAGGGGCUGAGCUGGGCCAUGCCAGGAGGAUGGGGAGCAGAGGUGGAGGGGGGGCACAGUCAAGGCAUUUGCUUAGGAGGCAAAAUAGGCAGGAUUUGGUGAGACAACAGACGCAUGCAAGACAGCUACAGUGGUCCAGGGUCACACUUGGUUCUUAACCUGAGUGCCACCAUCCGGGACAGAAAAAUUUGACUCUCAAAGAUUGUCAUGGUUUUGGAGUUCCUGUUGUGGUGCAGCAAAAAUGAACCCAACUAGGAACCAUGAGGUUGCGGGUUCAAUCCUUGGGCUCGCUCAGUGGGUUAAGGAUCUGGCAUUGCCAUGAGCUGGGGUGCAGGUCACAGACAUGGCUCGGAUCUGGCAUUGCUGUGGCCGUGGCGUAGGCCGGCAGCUGUAGCUCUGAUUCAACCCCUGGCCUGGGAACCUCCAUAUGCUGAGGGUACGGUCCUAAAAAAAAGGAAAAGAAAAAUUGUUGUGGUUUUAAUGUCUGAAUCUCCUCCAAAUUCAUAGGUUGAAAUCCUAAUGUCUGAUAGAACAGCAUGUGGAGGUGGGACUCUGGGAAUUUCUUAAAUCAUAAAGCUGGAGCUGUCAUGAAUGGAAUUAGUGUCUUUAUAAGAGACCCCAGACUACUCCCUAGCCCUUUCUACCAUUUGAGGGUCCAAGGGGGAGUAUGAGGCCCAGAAGAGGGCCCUCCCCAGCCAUUCUGGUACCCUGAUUCUCCAGACCAUGAGAAACAAAUUUCUGUAAUUUGCAAGCCACCCAGUCUGUGGUACUGUGUCAUAGCAACUAGAACGGACUAAAACAGGGAUGGAUACUGAGCUCUGACAUUCCAUGUUCAAGUUACCUCUGGGAUACCCAAGUGGAAUGGGUCGAGCAGCUCCUAGAGGGAGUUCCCACUGCAGCUCUGUGGUAAUGAACCCAACUAGUAUCCAUGAGGAUGAGGGUUUGAUCCCUGGCCCUGCUGGAUGGGUUAAGGAUCUGGAGUUGCCAUGAGCUGUGGUGUAGAUCAAAUACACGGCUAGGAUCCUGCUUGGCUGUGGCUGUGGUGUAGGCCAGCAGCUGCAGCUCCAAUUUGACUCCUAGCGUGGGAACUUCCAUAUGCCAUGGGAGCGGCCCUUAAAAAAAAAAAAAAAAAAGUAGCACCUAGAAACUGGAGCCUGGCCUUUAGAGAAGCUUUAGCUUUGGAGUCUGGAGAGAUGGCCCAGAAUGUCCAAAGGGACCUGAUGUGUGUCCAUCCUUCUGCUGAUGCCCACAGGUGAGAACAUGAUAGCACACAACAGGUCCCCACAUUCCCCAGCUCAGCAUUAGACCAUCUGUGCAGGGCCCAUCAAGAGCCUGGGAAGUCAUUAUCACCCACGCCCAGCCUGUGACAGAAAAGAGGUGGGAGAGGGAGAGAAAACGUCUUGGGAGAGAACCACUGGAGCACUGCGGCCCUUCCCUUCCCUUCUCUGUGAGCGACAGGAGGCAAAGACUUAUAUCUGCGCACAGCCCAGAUGUGCGCUCUGUGGGACGGAGCCAGCCUCAAGGCAUCUUGAAAAGGACACUGCCCAGGAGAAUGGCCUGGAAAGACAAAGUGGCCCGGCACAGAAGGGAACCAUGGCCAUUUAGCGGCCGAGUGUUACAUCUGCCAGAGGUGAAACCUACGUGCAGGGUUGCUGGUCAGAGGCUGUGGUCAGAGGAAGCCAGCAGGGAUGCACCCAAUCAAAAAACCAGCUUUUAAAACUCUGCUGCUCCCGGACAGCCGCUGUGGCUGAAUGUAUUUGAACCAGUCCAGCACAUCCUUCCUGCCCAGGACCCGUCCUGGAACCAGCUUGCCAGGGCCCUCGAAAGUGAUACUCCCGCCCCAGUCAAGCCUCCAGAUGAAUGUAGCCCCAGAUGACAUCUGACAGCAACUUCCUGGAAGACCCUGAGCCAGAACCCCCAUGUUAGCCACUCCCUAAUUCCUGACCCACUGAAACUGUAACAGAUCAUAAGCACUGCUCUUUUAAGCCCCUAUUAGUUGUGCAGUAGACAGUCAAUACAUGGCUCCGCCCACAGCUAUGAUGCAGACCUGGGUCCAGGAAUUCGCUUUGAAUAAGCUCCCUAAAUUAUACUUUGGAGGACUACCUGGAGUUAGAGGAGGAAGAGGAUUAGGCUGUAUCUCUGGCAUCCUGACAUUCAGAGCCACCAGGAAGCUUUCGGUCCUGUGGGUGCAACAGGAGAUGAUCCCAGCAAAUAGUGGUUCUGGUUUGGGGAUUUAUUUUUAUUGACCUAUAACUGACAUAUAACAUCGUGUAAGUUUAAGGUGUGGACUGGAUAUACGUGUAUAUCGCCAGACAAUGGCCACCACAGAGUUCCAUAAGACUGUGGAAAUUACCAUUAAGUUAUCAUAAAAGAAAAUUAUCAUUUUCUCUUCUGUGGUGAGAACAUUCAAGAUCUAUUCUCUUAGAACAUGGAGUAUAUCAUGUAGCAUGGUCGACUAUAAUCCGUAUGCUGUGCAUUAGAUCUCCAGAUCUCUUAGUCAUCUUCUAGUUGCAAGCUGCUUACUUACAAUUGUGGAGUCAGGGUUUGAAGGAGCUAGGAAGUGGUCUGGGAGGGACCUCAGCCUCUAAUAGUCACUGACACAGCCCUGGAAGGAUCUGCAAAUGUUUAAGCCAAUCACGCUUCCACGCUUCCACCUAAGCGGACAGCGCCCCCAAGUGGAUACUUUAAACAUUCCUCUUAUCUGAGUGUUUUCCUUUUCUGCACUGGCCCUCCCAGGCAGCUGAAAGCCCACCGUCUCCAAGCGCUGAAAUCGGAUUCAAAGCCUGCAGCCUUUCUGCUGCUCACCAGCCAUUGGCUGCCUAAACUGAAGCCCAUUCAUCUGCCUCCCGAGAGGUCUGGUUUAGAAGAUCAGACAGGAAAACUGUGAAGUCAGAAUAAACACCACCAAAAAAGGGGGUGUUACAAAAUCAUUUUCAAAAGGGUGGGUCUGCUUCUGCCUGUGGAAAUUAAAAAAAAAAAAAAAAAAA